UGGGAAAAUCCCAAGUCUUCCUCCAAGUAGGCAGGAAGCUGAGAUGCAACACAAUUCUGUAAAGUAACAGUUACUGGUGAAUCACCACCAGCCCCUUCCACCUUCACUUUGGGUUGCUUAAGUGCGUCUCUGAACACCAUUGUAAACAGCGUACGUUCUCGAAUCGCGCCGCCUCAAAUCCAACAAUUCUUGUAUCGAAUUCCGCACGAAAAAACACAAAACCAAUCCGAUCACUCACUCUUUCAAAAGGUAAAAGCAGCUUUAAGCUUCUUCAACCCUAUCAUCUCCUCCCUCUCUCCACAUCAAUCAAACUGUUACGACACCUACAUAAUCCUGUAUGUUUCUCUCUGCUGAGAGAGAGAGAGAGAGAGAGAGAGA
rnacentral:misc_RNA from 1 species